GAUGAACGCUGACAGAAUGCUUAACACAUGCAAGUCUUUGGCGAAGCUGUGCUUGCACAGCCUAGCCAAGGCGGACGGGUGAGUAACGCGUAAGGAACUUGCCCUGCAGUCAGGGAUAACAGACGGAAACGACGGAUAAGACCUGGUAAAGUCAGGCGGACUCAUGUCCAGCCUGAUGAAAAGAGAUGCUGCAGGAGAGCCUUGCGUCCUAUUAGCUUGUUGGUGGGGUAACGGCCCACCAAGGCGAUGAUAGGUAGCCGGCCUGAGAGGGUGGACGGCCACAAGGGGACUGAGAUACGGCCCUUACUCCUACGGGAGGCAGCAGUGGGGAAUAUUGGACAAUGGGGGCAACCCUGAUCCAGCAAUUCUGUGUGCACGAUGAAGGUUUUCGGAUUGUAAAGUGCUUUCAGCAGGGAAGAAAAAAAUGACGGUACCUGCAGAAGAAACGACGGCUAAAUACGU
rnacentral:rRNA from 1 species